rnacentral:rRNA from 1 species
CCUACGGGUGGCUGCCGUGGGGAAUAUUGGACAAUGGGCGAAAGCCUGAUCCAGCCAUGCCGCGUGUGUGAAGAAGGCCUUCGGGUUGUAAAGCACUUUCAGUGGGGAAGAAAGCCUUGGGGCUAAUACCCUCGAGGAAGGACAUCACCCACAGAAGAAGCACCGGCUAACUCCGUGCCAGCAGCCGCGGUAAUGCGGAGGGUGCGAGCGUUAAUCGGAAUUACUGGGCGUAAAGCGCGCGUAGGCGGUCUGAUAAGCCGGUUGUGAAAGCCCCGGGCUCAACCUGGGAACGGCAUCCGGAACUGUCAGGCUAGAGUGCAGGAGAGGAAGGUAGAAUUCCCGGUGUAGCGGUGAAAUGCGUAGAGAUCGGGAGGAAUACCAGUGGCGAAGGCGGCCUUCUGGACUGACACUGACGCUGAGGUGCGAAAGCGUGGGUAGCAAACAGGAUUAGAUACCCGAGUAGUC